rnacentral:rRNA from 1 species
CAGCAGCCGCGGGAAUACGAAGGGUGCAAGCGUUAAUCGGAAUUACUGGGCAUAAAGCGUGCGUAGGCGGUGAGUUAAGUCUGCUGUGAAAUCCCCGGGCUCAACCUGGGAAUGGCAGCGGAUACUGGCUCGCUAGAGUGUGUCAGAGGAUGGUGGAAUUCCCGGUGUAGCGGUGAAAUGCGUAGAGAUCGGGAGGAACAUCAGUGGCGAAGGCGGCCAUCUGGGACAACACCGACGCUGAGGCACGAAAGCGUGGGGAGCAAACAGGAUUAGAUACCCGGGUAGUCCCUGUCUCUUAUAC